GUCUUGUGAUAACCAGGAAGCAAACUUUCCAGACAGUCAGUCUUAUUCAGUAGAGCUUGUAAAUUAAAACUGCGAACGCGUAUUUUACCUAUAAGCUUUCUUCAAAAUGCCUUUAGUUCGUGGCGGAACAUCCGAGGCUAAAGAUGCGAAUGAAGAAGUGCAGAAAAUAUGCGACCAGAUGAAGGCUGAUGCCGAGGAAAAAGCUGGGCGAAAGUUUGACGUUUUCACUGCUAAAUCGUUUAAAACGCAGGUUGUUGCGGGAACAAAUUACUUCGUUAAGGUGCAUGUAGGUGAUGAAGACUAUGUUCAUCUGCGUGUCUACAAAACACUGCCUCAUGCUGGAGAAACACUGCAGCUGACAAGCAUACAGACAGCCAAGGCUCAUCAUGACGCUAUUGAAUACUUCUGAAGCAGACCAUCAGAAAACAUCGCCAGUACUGCCCCAAAUACAAACAAAACCAUUUGUAAACACUACCUGGAAGGAGCCAGCCAAUAUUCAACAGCAUGUUUAUAAUCCAGACGAUGAAGACUCCACACGAUAACACAGCAGGACUGCAGUACAUCAGGCCAUUAACAACAAAAAAAAACAUCCUGUAAAGCAACUUCAGAGUCAUAUUCUUAUAAAUGACAUCUCAUUUUAGUAUUAGAGCUUCACCUCCUGCAUGUAGUGGAGAGAAUGCAAGUGCUCAUGAACGACAGCCCAGUUGGAGAAGGUCCAUCCCGAUGGAGUGAUCUCAGUAUUAAACUUGUUUGAUAUUGCGCUAGUGGUGUUAUGAAAAGAACCAGCAACAUAGAAACACACAACAUAUACACUAUACCAGUUAAAAUUAUAACAUAUAAUAAAUAAAACAUAUGAAAAAUGUUUUUUUU